rnacentral:rRNA from 2 species
UACGGGGGGUGCAAGCGUUGUUCGGAUUUAUUGGGCGUAAAGCGCGUGUAGGCGGUUUGGUAAGUCUGAUGUGAAAGCCCCGGGCUCAACCUGGGAAGUGCAUUGGAUACUGUCAGACUUGAAUACGGGAGAGGGUAGUGGAAUUCCUAGUGUAGGAGUGAAAUCCGUAGAUAUUAGGAGGAACACCGGUGGCGAAGGCGGCUACCUGGACCGAUAUUGACGCUGAGACGCGAAAGCGUGGGGAGCAAACAGG